rnacentral:rRNA from 1 species
AGCGAACGCUGGCGGCAGGCUUAACACAUGCAAGUCGAACGCAUCCUUCGGGGUGAGUGGCAGACGGGUGAGUAACACGUGGGAACGUACCCUUCGAUCUGGGAUAACUUCGGGAAAAUGGAGCUAAUACCGGAUACGCCCUUUUGGGGAAAGGUUUACUGUCGAAGGAUCGGCCCGCGUCUGAUUAGCUAGUUGGUGGGGUAACGGCCUACCAAGGCGACGAUCAGUAGCUGGUCUGAGAGGAUGAUCAGCCACACUGGGACUGAGACACGGCCCAGACUCCUACGGGAGGCAGCAGUGGGGAAUAUUGGACAAUGGGCGCAAGCCUGAUCCAGCCAUGCCGCGUGAGUGAUGAAGGCCUUAGGGUUGUAAAGCUCUUUUGUCCGGGACGAUAAUGACGGUACCGGAAGAAUAAGCCCCGGCUAACUUCGUG